rnacentral:rRNA from 1 species
CCUACGGGUGGCAGCAGUGGGGAAUAUUGCGCAAUGGGCGAAAGCCUGAUGCAGCGACGCAGCGUGAGGGAUGAAGGUCUUCGGAUCGUAAACCUCUGUCAGCAGGGAAGAACGGUCACUGUACUAAUUAGUAGUGAAUUGACGGUACCUGCAAAGGAAGCACCGGCUAACUACGUGCCAGCAGCCGCGGUAAUACGGAGGGUGCGAGCGUUAUUCGGAAUUACUGGGCGUAAAGCGCUCGUAGGCGGUAUGUCAAGUCAAGGGUGAAAUCCCCGGGCUCAACGUGGGAACUGCUUUUGAAACUGGCAAACUGGAGUGAGGAAGAGGAUAGUGGAAUUCCAGGUGUAGGAGUGAAAUGCGUAGAUAUAUGGAAGAACAUCAGUGGCGAAGGCGACUAUCUGGCACAUAACUGACGCUGAGGAGCGAAAGCGUGGGUAGCAAACAGGAUUAGAUACCCCAGUAGUC